rnacentral:rRNA from 1 species
UACAGAGGGUGCAAGCGUUGUCCGGAAUCAUUGGGCGUAAAGCGCGUGUAGGCGGUUCGGUAAGUCCGCUGUGAAAGUCGGGGGCUCAACCCUCGGAUGCCGGUGGAUACUGUCGGGCUUGAGUACGGAAGAGGCGAGUGGAAUUCCUGGUGUAGCGGUGAAAUGCGCAGAUAUCAGGAGGAACACCAAUUGCGAAGGCAGCUCGCUGGGACGUUACUGACGCUGAGACGCGAAAGCGUGGGGAGCAAACAGG